CAACGCGGAAUCCACCUGCAAUCAGGCUAUCCGUCGUGUUUUCGAAUGAAGUACCUGCUCAUUUGUUACAAGCGUGAACUCUGUGGUCGCAUGAGAAAACACUAUUCAACAGAACACGGUUGUGCGCGGUCUGAGGAUGGAGACGUAGACACCGAGACCCACGUAAGGCAACGUGACCCAGAACCUAUACAGAACCCAGAGGAAAUCAUCCUUUCUCAUAGUGGUCCUCGACAAGAGGAGGCUGUAGUCAGUGCUUCGCUCAUUUGCUCGGCUGAAACGGUGUCUUAUCCACCUCUAAUAAUUGCGCUUACAUGUUCCUUGUUAUUUCUGAACGGGACGAAUGGCUUGGCGAGUAUUCACUCUCUCGCGUUUUGACUCAGUGACUAGGCAAGCAAUUGACGCAAGUGUUACUUCAAGCAACAAGGCGCAGCACGGGGACCCGUGGUUGCAGUGACGGGUCCCUCUCGGCUGAUGCGAUGGUGCCGAAAUGUAGGCCAGCAAUUUUUAGAACUGUGCCAUCCAGCCUUUCUGCGAGGAUUGCAAGAGAGUCGACUUAAAAUAAUGUGGAGUUGGAUGAUGGAGUUGUAAUUGUAGCCAAUUAAGUGGAAAAAAGGAAACAUUUGAUGGGUAAAAGUUAAGAUUCACUUGGAGAUGUAGCUGGCUGGCAUUUGGGUGUAUUGCUUCAUGGCGAGUGAUGGAAAACGGCUUUCAAGCAUUAUAUUUCUCUGCUCAUGGAUCUAAGUCGUGUUGGAUCCCUUCUAUAGAUCUCUCUACUUCUGCCUCCACACUAGCCUACAUAUAUCUCUGUCUCUUGUCUAGCGAGUGAUUCAGAAAAAGAUUAUGGGCGUAACUAAAAAGGGUAAUGGAGAAUUCACACAGAUUUGGAACAAUAGACAUCAAUUCACAAUGGACAAUGAAUAGAGGAGCAGAACUGUUUGGGUUUCUGGACACGUCCACGCCAGGCGGGCUCGUGACGAGGCCAACGACAUGUGGUGCGGGACUGACUGGUAGUCUGGACACUUGCACAAAUUAGAGAGUCGUUUGGCCAGUUUUCUUGUCUCAGGCCACUCAAGCAAAAGUAGACUAAUGCCAGUGUUUGUAGUAAACUGCUCCGGAUUGGAUUGACUCAGUACAUACCUUUGGUCUUUUUCAAAGUGUAUCUAUGCAAGAUAGCUCCGGGUUUAUUUCUCGCUGGCUCAGUUCAAACUCGUAUAGCUGUAGCAAACUCUACACUGCUGCUGCAGAACUCGAGUUUUUCUAUCAUCAAAAAUUCUAUAGCCUAACUGAAAUUCAAUGUGGACAUCAGUAACGCCUAUUUUAUUGGAUUUACGGCAACAGGUGCUGAAAUCUGAGAAAGACUUUCAACAAGCAAGGAUCCAGGAUGCAGGACCUUGGACAGAUAUACCAUCUUCUGAAGCUAGAAAAACAAAGAAAUGCUGAGAAAUAAUUUGAGUGAGAGAGAUCAGUAGCUGUGUGGGCCUGGACAAGGAGAACAGGAGGAGGAGGAGAAACAGAGAGAAAAAUAGGAAGAGAACGAGAGGAUAGGAUUGAUGCCUGUUUGGAAGCAGCGAAUGAUGAACCAGGGAGCAGGUGAACCCAGCUGUCGAUGGCCAUGGGCUCUCUGGCUCCUCUCUUCCCGUGGCCCUCUGCUCCGUGCCGGGUUCUCAGGGAGCCGGCUGGGGCCAGCCAGGCAGCGGCAGAGUGGGCAGGCGAGCCGAGGCAAGGGGAGGCGAGGCAGGCUCUCAUCCCCGCUAGCAAGAUGCUCCUCAGAAAAGCGGAGCAGCAAAUCAAUAUGGAGGAGAGAGGCUAGCAGAGUUCGCCCAUCACUGCCCCCGGCCCUAGAGCCCAGGGACCCAGCGCUGCCAGCUCUCGCUCUCCUCCUCCUCUAGUAGCAGGACCAGAACCAUCCACUGUAUGGAGCACAUCAGUCAGAUCCUAACCCUCAACCACCCGCUUUCUCUCUAUCUGUGUGUGUGUAAGCAUGUCUGUAUGUGUGGUUCCGCCGUAGGGGCUUUCCUGGUCCAAGACCAUUUGAUAAAACUUUGCCAGUGAGAAAGAGAGAGAAUAAAAAACGGACGUCAAAGGUCUUUUUAUUUAUUUUUUCGCUGAUUACUCAUUCUUACUCAUUCCACCUGACUAUUUGAGCGAGAGUUCUUAUAUUGAAUUGAACAGGGCUCUCUCGUCAGUCCCCCUCCAAGCAUGUACUGUACAGUCACCAUGCUCUCCACAUCUGAUGAACCAGGAUAAAAGGACAAUUUGAACUUUUUUUCUCUCGUCUACAGAUUCAGAGAAAAUCUUUUUUCGCCUCCAGUUUUCUUCCUCACCCCUCAGGUUACUAUCAGAGGAGGUGGCAGAGGUUAUUGAUCUGUAUGGAGAUGGAAGAGGUGCUGGUUUUGAUACAGGACAGUUCACUGUCUGAUGGUUAUAUAGUAGUGCCUGAUAACCCAUUCAGGGUGAUCUGCGUGUGUUAAGCAGGAACUAUAUUCAGGAGUGAACGAGUCCUGAGUGAGAGAUGAAAAGGACGGUGAGCAUAUAGUGCCUGAACAGUGGCCUGAACAGUGGCCUGAACAGUGGCCUGAACAGUGGCCUGAACAGUGGCCUGAACAGUGGCCUGAACAGUAUCCACUAUUUCAUGUGACUUUUCUCCUCCAUAUUUGAACAAUUCCCUCCCCACAAGGAGCUUUGAAAAGGCCUUCUAUACAAAAGCCCUAUCUUUAGAUACAUAGAAAUAGGAAACAUUUGAUUAAAUAAGAAUGACUUUAAGUGCCUUUUUUUUCGUUGGAGAAGAAAGGGAUCGAAAACUUCUGGGCUGGAGAGGACAAAGGGGACAGAGAUAGUUUGGACCUGAAACAGGAACACCUUUACACAGAGAGAUCUACAAACCACACAAUGUUGCAGACUUCACUUGAUGCUGAGGUUACAAUGGAGAUGCAGUGGAAGCAUCAAGCAUCAUGUCCCGUGCAGACCAAACCAGACACACAGAGAAUUAAAGCCGUUCACUGUAAUAAAGGUCAAUACAAAUACCCCACCACAGUCAAGAGGAUUCAGUUCUCCAAUCUACUGAUUAUCACCAAAUGUUUGUGUGGUCAGGUAAGUAGGAGUCUUAACAAGGGAAAGGUACAUUUAUAAGUGGUGGUUGAAAAGUAAUACAUUUUUUUGAAUAGUUUCAUUAGGUCUUAAUGAAAGAUUUUGAAACCAAUUUUAGGGGGAUAUUGGUUGAGAUCCCAAGGGAUCCUUUGCCCGUUUCUAUUUCAGAGUAAAGCUUUUAAAUGUAAAAUUCUUGAUUUGCUCAAGUCUUUGUAUGUGUUUGCACUGCAGCUUCAUUCUCUUACCUACAAUUUUCAUAUCAUUGAUCGUAAUAACUAUUUUUUAUGUAAAAAAAUUAAAGACUGCUGCAUGUUUUCAGUGUCUUGUGGUAAAAAAUACAAAUAAAGUGAACGUAAUUG